UAUUUUCCAGGUAACACUGUCACACCCACACCCACACAUCGUAGCUGCGCUGCAAAGUGUUUCAAUAUUUAUUGCAAAAAUGCUGUGAAAAUCCAGUGAUACGCUUAAAUUUAGUACUCAAUCGUACGCAACGGAUGGCCGCGGAGGCGUGGGCAGUGAAAUUCGCGAGUAACACUGCUGAAAAGGCAGCGAAAAACAAACGCGAAAAAACGAUGAAAUCUAGUCAAUCAAAUAUUGUGAAUGGAAGGGAAAGAGAAGAAAGAGGGGCGCAAAAGGAAAACGCAAAUAAAAAGUGACACGCAGAAGCCAGCUAAAUUGCAGUUUAUUUAAAUAUACUAGAGAUUUGUUCAAAAUAUAAAUAUAAUCACAAAUCAUCGAAAAGUCAAGUGUCUGUGUGUGGUGUGUGCGUGUGUGUGGGAGUCUCUCUCUCUCUCUUUCUCUGUCGCUCCCCUCUUUUUCUCCCCCAACUACUUUGUUGUUGUUCUGGUGGGGUUGAAAAGCCAUUGCCUGCAUAACGGUUAACGCGUGACGUACGACCCACCAACAGCAGUCAAGUGCAGCCCCCUCCCCACCCCUCGCCCGUAAAGGGAGAAGAGAGCACACGUCCUUUAUAAAGAGAGGGAUCUUGCGAUCCACCCAAACACCAUUCAUCAUGAUGGACAACGAUGAUGCACUGCUCAACAAUGGAGGACCACAGUCCGGAGCAGAAACGGUCUACGGCACCGAGGACAACAACAUGGUCAUGUCGGAGAAGAAUGAACAGGUUGUCAGCAUCGUCCAACAACUGGCGGGCAGUAUUUAUCAGGAAUUCGAGCGGAUGAUCAAUCGCUAUGACGAGGAUGUGGUGAAGAACCUGAUGCCGCUGCUCGUGAACGUGCUGGAGUGCCUGGAUGCCUCCUAUCGCAUCAAUCAGGAGCAGGACGUGGAAGUGGAGCUGCUGCGCGAGGACAACGAGCAGCUUGUCACACAAUAUGAGCGGGAAAAGAGUGCCCGCAAACAGUCCGAACAGAAGCUAUUGGAAGCGGAGGAUCUGGCCGAGCAGGAGAACAAGGAGCUGGCCACGCGCCUGGAAUCGGUGGAGAGCAUUGUGCGAAUGCUGGAACUGAAGCACAAGAACAGCCUGGAGCACGCGAGUCGUUUGGAGGAGCGAGAGGCGGAUCUCAAGAAGGAGUAUAACAAACUGCACGAGCGGUACACUGAGCUGUUCAAGAACCAUGUGGACUACAUGGAGCGCACCAAGAUGCUGAUGGGCUCAACGCAUUCCCAAAUGAGCACCGCCUCCGAACGCAUGGAUGUGAGCCGAGCGAGACUGAAUCCCGUGGCUCGCAGCUCGGGACCCGUUUCCUAUGGUUUCGCCUCGCUGGAGAACUCGGUGAUGCUGGACACCGAGACCAUUUGCAGUGUGGGCAGCCAGUCGGAUGACUCCGGUCCGCCUUCGCUGCAGAACGAGCUGGACAAUCUCGGUGGGACGGCGGAACGUGGAGCUGCCAACGUGGAACAGCACCAGGCCACCUCGCCCCAGAGUCCCGACAGCAGUCCCGUUGUGCCAAAUGUGCCCUCAAAUGUUGGUCGCUCGACUACCAAAAAGGAGCAGCGCUCGGAUAACAAUCUCUACCAAGAGCUGUCCUUCCAGGACAACGAGGAGAGUGAAGAGAAUGAGAUUGUCACAGGCAGCUGGGUCCAUCCUGGAGAGUAUGCGUCCUCAGCUAACGACAACUAUUUUGGCAUGGGCAAGGAGGUUGAGAAUCUUAUCAUGGAAAACAAUGAGCUGCUGGCCACCAAAAAUGCGCUCAAUAUUGUCAAGGAUGAUUUGAUUGUCAAAGUGGAUGAGCUCACUGGUGAGGUCGAAAUCGUUCGCGAGGAGCUCAAUGCCAUGCAGCAAUCGAGGACCAAGUUGAGGCAGCGCAUCAGUGAGCUGGAGGAUGAGCUGAAGAAAGCCAAGGAGCAGGUCAAGCAGCAAAACACUGAGCAGGAGGAGAAUGAUGUGCCGCUGGCACAGCGCAAGAGAUUCACCCGUGUGGAAAUGGCCAUGGUGCUAAUGGAGCGCAAUCAGUACAAGGAGCGUUUAAUGGAGCUGCAGGAGGCAGUGCGUCUGACAGAAAUACUCCGCGCCUCGCGUACCGUAGAUAAUUUAGACAGAAAGUCCAAGCAGAGCAUUUGGAAGUACUUUAGUAAUCUUUUUACCCCCUCCAACCGCCCAACGGAACGCGUUGCGGACGGUCUCGGAGGGGGGCCGAUGUUUCGUCACACCGGCGGAGGAAGUCCUGCCCACAGCCACGGAUCCCCCAGUCGAGGAAGUGGAAGUGGCGACAAUCGCCUGGCCCUAACCAGCGGCCAGCCGCCGGUGCAUCCGGCAAGCGCUGGUCUUGCCAACGCACUCAUUAUGCCGAAAGACUAUGCCGAGGAGGGCAGUUCGGAGAGGAUCAGUGCGAGGAGAAGGGAGCAGUACCGCCAGCUACGUGCCCAUGUCCAAAAAGAGGAUGGACGGCUGCAUGCCUACGGUUGGAGUCUGCCGAUUAACAAGGCCAGCCAGGAGGCGAAUCCCAACCGCCAUUCGGGUGGUGUACCAGUUCCCGUUUAUUGUAAUCCCCUGGCGGAGGCAUCGCCCCACAUGAAGGUAUUUUGUGCGGCAGGCGUUAAUCUACACGGCGGCUUCACAAAGAAUGGGCAAUCACUGAUACCUGCCAGCUCACCAUAUGCUCCGAAAUCUACGCUUAAGAUAGCCGAGAUAACCAGUCCCACAGCGGAUCAGAGCAUGGAGGCCUUGGACAGGCAGAUGGCGAGGGUCAGCCUGGAGACGCUGGAGCCCGAGACGCAACUCAGUUCGUUUGUGUGGAUAUGCACAAGCACACAUGCUGCCAGUACGGUCAGUGUGGUUGAUGCCAAUCAAUCGGCCACUGUGCUGGAUGCCUUUCCCAUCUGCGCAUCGCAUUUGCUUUGCAUUGCCUCCGUGCAAGGCGCAAUGGAGAGUGACUACGCGUUGCUGGAGCAAUCGGAAGUGGUCAAAGCCGGCGAGAUGCUGCAGCGGCCGGGCGAGGGUGUCGAACUAUUGGGCAAAGUGGAGUUUGUACGUGUGAAACCAAAGUCGGACGAUGAGCAGAACAGCAAUGCCAAGCAACAGCAGGAGGAGGAGGAGGCCAAGGAAGCCACUGAGAAAUCCAAUGAGCAGCUGCCGGCCGUAAGUGCCGAAGAGCCACUUGGCAAUGUGGAGGCCAUCAAAAUACGACAGGCUCUGCCAGGUGCUCCCCAGCGAUUGGCCACGGAUGGCAACCAGACGAACAACAACAAUAACACCAGCACCAGUAAUCUGUUGUUUACCACCAAGUCAUUGAACCCCAUACUGGAGACCAAGGAUCGUGAUGAACCGGCAAUGAGCUCGGUGGGCCCCACAAUGUGGCUGGGCGCCCAGGAUGGCUGGCUGUAUGUGCACAGCAGCGUGGGAAGGUGGCACGAGUGCCUGCACCGAGUUCUCCUGCCGGAUGCUGUGCUAGCGAUUGUACACGUAGAGGCGAGGGUCGUUGUGGCGCUGGCCAAUGCCCAACUGGCUGUGUUCCGCCGCCAGACAGACGGCCAAUGGGAUCUGAAUAGCUAUCACCUGGUGACGCUCGGUGAUCGCAACCAUUCGAUACGUUGCCUCUGUGUGGCUGGCGAGCGCAUUUGGGCCGCUCACCGCAACAAGAUCUUUAUCGUGGACCCCGUAUCGCUCAACAUUGUGCACUCGCUGGACGCGCAUCCGCGUAAGGAGAGCCAGGUGCGUCAGAUGGCGGCCACGGGAGCUGGUGUCUGGGUAUCGAUCAGACUGGACUCCACGCUGAGGCUGUACAACACGCACACGUUCGAGCACAAGCAGGACGUGGACAUUGAGCCGUACGUGUCCAAGAUGCUCGGCACCGGCAAGCUGGGCUUCAGCUUCGUACGCAUCACUGCUCUAAUGGUGUCCUGCAAUCGGCUGUGGAUCGGCACCAGCAACGGCGUGAUCAUCUCAGUGCCGCUGGCCGAAGUGCAGCCCAAGUCAUCAUCCGAUCCCCAUGGCCAGAUGCCGCUGUGCUGCAUGGCCAACGCUCAACUUUCCUUCCACGGCCACCGGGAUGCGGUGAAAUUCUUCGUAUCGGUGCCCAUGCUGCAGCAGCCCAAUCUGAACGGUGGACUGACCUUCACCAACAAGCGACCCGAUAUGCUGGUCAUGUGCGGCGGCGAGGGCUACAUCGAUUUUCGCAUAAGACAUGAUAAGUUUGAUGCUAGUGAUAAUGCAGCGCACUUGAUAGUUUGGAAAGUCGAUACAACGUUCAAUCUGUAGCAGGAUGGGGUCCCAAAAGUGGAUUGCUGCAUUUCUCUCAGCCGUGACCUGAUCUGAACUAGCCCACUAAGCAGACGAUAACGACAUGGAAAACAGUAUUCAACUGGAACCAAACCAAACGAUCGAGAAUCGAGGCGAUAAGAGUUACUUGAUCGUGUG
rnacentral:misc_RNA from 1 species